UACAGAGGUCCCAAGCGUUGUUCGGAUUCAUUGGGCGUAGAGGGUGCGUAGGCGGCGCGGUAAGUCGGGUGUGAAAUCUCGGGGCUUAACUCCGAAACUGCAUUCGAUACUGCCGUGCUUGAGGACUGGAGAGGAGACUGGAAUUUACGGUGUAGCGGUGAAAUGCGUAGAUAUCUGGAGGAACACCGGUGGCGAAGGCGGCAUCCUGGACCAACACUGACGCUGAGGAGCGAAAGCCAGGGGAGCAAACGGG
rnacentral:rRNA from 1 species